rnacentral:rRNA from 1 species
AGCGAACGCUGGCGGCAGGCUUAACACAUGCAAGUCGAACGGGCGUAGCAAUACGUCAGUGGCAGACGGGUGAGUAACGCGUGGGAACGUACCUUUUGGUUCGGAACAACCCAGGGAAACUUGGGCUAAUACCGGAUAAGCCCUUACGGGGAAAGAUUUAUCGCCGAAAGAUCGGCCCGCGUCUGAUUAGCUUGUUGGUGAGGUAACGGCUCACCAAGGCGACGAUCAGUAGCUGGUCUGAGAGGAUGAUCAGCCACAUUGGGACUGAGACACGGCCCAAACUCCUACGGGAGGCAGCAGUGGGGAAUAUUGGACAAUGGGCGCAAGCCUGAUCCAGCCAUGCCGCGUGAGUGAUGAAGGCCCUAGGGUUGUAAAGCUCUUUUGUGCGGGAAGAUAAUGACGGUACCGCAAGAAUAAGCCCCGGCUAACUUCGUGCCAGCCGCCGCCGUAAG